rnacentral:rRNA from 2 species
UACGGGGCGCAGCAGGCGCGAAAACUUCACACUGCAGGAAACUGCGAUGAGGGAACUCCAAGUGACUACACAUUUGUGUAGCUCUUUUCUUAACUAUUAAUCGGUUUUGGAAUAAGGGCUGGGAAAGACCGGUGCCAGCAGCCGCGGUAAU